UACGGGGGGGGGCAAGCGUUGUUCGGAAUUACUGGGCGUAAAGGGCGCGUAGGCGGUCGUGACAAGUCACUUGUGAAAUCUCCGGGCUUAACUCGGAACGGUCAGCUGAUACUGCUUUGCUAGAGUGCAGAAGGGGCAAUCGGAAUUCUUGGUGUAGCGGUGAAAUGCGUAGAUAUCAAGAGGAACACCUGAGGUGAAGACGGGUUGCUGGGCCGACACUGACGCUGACAGCGCGAAAGCCAGGGGAGCAAACGGG
rnacentral:rRNA from 1 species